AAUCAACGCUGGCGGCGUGCCUAACACAUGCAAGUCGCACGAGAAAGGGUCUUCGGAUCUGGGUAAAGUGGCGCACGGGUGAGUAACACGUGAAUUAUCUACCUUCGAGUGGGGAAUAACUUCGGGAAACCGAGGCUAAUACCGCAUAAUAUCUACGGAUCAAAGCAGUAAUGCGCUUGAAGAGGAGUUCGCGGCAGAUUAGUUAGUUGGCGGGGUAAUGGCCCACCAAGACGAUGAUCUGUAUCCGGCCUGAGAGGGCGCACGGACACACUGGAACUGAAACACGGUCCAGACUCCUACGGGAGGCAGCAGUGGGGAAUUUUGCGCAAUGGGGGAAACCCUGACGCAGCAACGCCGCGUGGAGGAUGAAGUCUCCUGGGACGUAAACUCCUUUCGAUAGGGAAGAUUAUGACGGUACCUAUAGAAGAAGCCCCGGCUAACUUCGUGCCAGCCGCCGCAGUAA
rnacentral:rRNA from 1 species